UGUAUACAACUUUUCUACCAGCAAUUUUGCUCCUAUUUUUAAUGGUAGCAAUGUUUCUAAAAAGAAAUCAAACUAUGGAGGUUUUUUAUUAUUUUUUGAAAACAUUAGCGAACUAGUCAACUAGCGAAAACCUAGCGGAGUCACUGGCUCACUCUGACUGUUAUAAUCGGAAACAACCCUCAAAAUUUAAAAUCAACUACGGACAUUAGACAAU